rnacentral:rRNA from 1 species
AUUGAACGCUAGCGGCAUGCCUUACACAUGCAAGUCGAACGGCAGCACGGACUUCGGUCUGGUGGCGAGUGGCGAACGGGUGAGUAAAGUAUCGGAACGUACCUUUCAGUGGGGGAUAACGUAGCGAAAGUUACGCUAAUACCGCAUAUUCUGUGCGCAGGAAAGCAGGGGAUCGCAAGACCUUGCGCUGAUUGAACGGCCGAUAUCAGAUUAGCUAGUUGGUGAGGUAAAGGCGCACCAAGGCGACGAUCUGUAGCGGGUCUGAGAGGAUGAUCCGCCACACUGGAACGGAGACACGGUCCAGACUCCUACGGGAGGCAGCAGUGGGGAAUUUUGGACAAUGGGGGCAACCCUGAUCCAGCCAUGCCGCGUGAGUGAAGAAGGCCUUCGGGUUGUAAAGCUCUUUCGGCCGGGAAGAAAUCGUAUCAGCUAAUACCUGGUGCGGAUGACGGUACCGGCAUAAGAAGCACCGGCUAACUACGUGCCAGCAGCCGCGGUAAAAC